AGCAUCUGCUGCUAGAGGAAAGGUCAUCACUCACGCAGUGAGAAAAGUCUCAUACAAAACACCAUACCCAUCUUCAUUGAGUUAAAAAGGCUAAUGGAAAGCAAGAAUAGCCCCCUUAUAGGUUCCCUCAUGGAAUGCCUUCGAGUUCUUCUCAAGGACUACAAGAACGAAAUUGAUGACUUAUUGGUAGCUGAUAAGCAACUUCAGAAAGAGCUCCUCUAUGACAUUCAAA